AUUGAACGCUGGCGGCAGGCCUAACACAUGCAAGUCGAACGAGUGGCGGCCGGGUGAGUAAUGUUUGGGAAUCUACCUGAUGGAGGGGGAUAACUACGGGAAACUGUAGCUAAUACCGCGUACCAUAAGAUGAGCCCAAGUGGGAUUAGGUAGUUGGUGGGGUAAAGGCUCACCAAGCCGACGAUCCCUAGCUGGUCUGAGAGGAUGACCAGCAACACUGGGACUGAGACACGGCCCAGACUCCUACGUGAGGCAGCAGUGGGGAAUAGUGCGCAAUGGGGGCAACCCUGACGCAGCCAUGCCGAGUGAAUGAAGAAGGCCUUCGGGUUGUAAAGUUCUUUCAGUAGCGAGGCGUUAACUACAGAAGAAGCACCGGCUAACUCCGUGCCAGCAGCCGCGGUAAUAC
rnacentral:rRNA from 1 species